UCGGGUUGUAAAGCACUUUUGUCCGGAAAGAAAACGCUCUGGUUAAUACCCGGGGCGGAUGACGGUACCGGAAGAAUAAGCACCGGCUAACUACGUGCCAGCAGCCGCGGUAAUACGUAGGGUGCAAGCGUUAAUCGGAAUUACUGGGCGUAAAGCGUGCGCAGGCGGUCCGCUAAGACAGAUGUGAAAUCCCCGGGCUUAACCUGGGAACUGCAUUUGUGACUGGCGGGCUAGAGUAUGGCAGAGGGGGGUAGAAUUCCACGUGUAGCAGUGAAAUGCGUAGAGAUGUGGAGGAAUACCGAUGGCGAAGGCAGCCCCCUGGGCCAAUACUGACGCUCAUGCACGAAAGCGUGGGGAGCAAACAGGAUUAGAUACCCUGGUAGUCCACGCCCUAAACGAUGUCAACUAGUUGUCGGGUCUUCAUUGACUUGGUAACGAAGCUAACGCGUGAAGUUGACCGCCUGGGGAGUACGGUCGCAAGAUUAAAACUCAAAGGAAUUGACGGGACCCGCACAAGCGGUGAUGAUGUGGAUUAAUUCGAUGCAACGCGAAAAACCUUACCUACCCUUGACAUGGUCGGAACCCUGCUG
rnacentral:rRNA from 1 species